rnacentral:rRNA from 1 species
UACGUAGGGGGGCAAGCGUUGUUCGGAUUUACUGGGCGUAAAGGGCGCGUAGGCGGCGUGACAAGUCACUUGUGAAAUCUCCGGGCUUAACUCGGAACGGUCAAAGUGAUACUGUCGUGCUAGAGUACAGAAGGGGCAACUGGAAUUCUCGGUGUAGCGGUGAAAUGCGUAGAUAUCGGGGAGGAACACCAGUGGCGAAGGCGAGUCUCUGGGGAUGAUGCUGACGCUGAGGCGCGAAGCUAGGUAGC